rnacentral:tRNA from 1 species
GCCGGUGUGGCGGAACGGUAGACGCAGCGGAUUCAAAAUCCGCCGAUGGUAACAUCGUGAGAGUUCGAUUCUCUCCACCGGCACCA